UGAAGAUGAAACUGAAGCGCUUUUGGCGGAGCUUGAACAAAUUAAGAAGGAAAGGGCUGAAAAGAAAAUGCGAAAGGUGUAACUUUUAAACCUUGAACUAGUUUUUAUACAUGUCAGUUCCACGUACACGCUUAUUGUAAUUUGAUUCUUGAGUCUUUGUUUUCCUUUUAUAGUUCUUUCUUAUUUUGUGUGUGGGGUGGGGGGGUGUUUAAUAAUGUGAUGCAACUUUUGACUGAAUUGAUAUUGAAUUAUUGAUUAUACAUUGUAUUGUGCUCUUUGCAGGAUCGAUAACAGCAAGAGGAAGAACUGAAAAACAAAGAAGCAGAACUUAUGAGGGGAAACCCUAUAAUUAAUGUUAAUACUCCGUCUAACUUCAACUUUAAAAGAAGGUGGGAUGAUGAUGUUGUGUUCAAGAAUCAAGCACGUGGUGAGACGAAAGCAACUAAACGCUUCAUUAAUGAUACCAUCAUGAGUGAUUUCCACAGGAAAUUUUUACACAAGUACAUGAAAUAAAUUGGAUUAGCCAUUAGAUGAAGAAACUAUUUUCCUGUAUCCACCACAAUUUCUUGAAACAGAAUGUCUUUAUUACCCUGAUAGUGCAAACUAAGGUUUAUUUACUUGUUUGGAUGAAAACUUGGUCUCCAGCUAUUGCCUUUUGGAAUACUUUUGUAAUACGAAUUCCAUAUUUUCUUAUUGUACUCACGAUCUAGUGGUACUUGUCUAAUUGUUUGUGCAAGUAGAUUUAAUCAAUGAAAGAAAGAAUUGACUAGUAGAUGAACCCUUCUUAUUAUUCCGACCUAAAUAUAAUUGUUUUUUUUUUUUUUAUUUUUUUAUUUUGCAGUUUGACAAAAUUGUUAAAAUCAUUUUGACUCUACUAGAAUUAAUUUCUUAGUAAAAUCAGUUUAUGAAAUGUUUGGGCUCCAUGCAAAUUUCAAACCUGAAAGCUUCAAUCAAGUAUAUGUACCACAAUAUCAUAUUCCAUGUGCUUUAUUAAUUUAGUUAAUUCCAAAAAAAAAAAAAA